rnacentral:lncRNA from 1 species
CUGAUAAACAGGGUGACGUCUACCUUUUAAGGAACCCAAGCACAGAGCUGGGCCGUGCAGACCGGGUGAGAGCAAGCUUGGACUGAAGCUGGCAUUCAUCCUCAGGUUUUGGUCUGUCGUGAAGGGGUUUUGGCAGCUCUGCUCCCAUUACGCUAUGCCCAAGGAAGACCAGGCACUGAUGCAGUGCCCUGAUGUCAUCUCUGCACACAUCGUCUGUGUCACAGCUUCAUGCAGGACCAAGGUAUCGGCGCUCCACAGACCUAUUCCCGCUGGGCCCUGGCUUGGGAACUUGGGCUGUCAGAGGGAUAGGUGCAUGUCACAUGCCGGAGCUGCUGCUGUCCCCAGGAAAGAGAAGAUCACAGGCAUCCUCACUCUCUCCUCCAACCUGGAUUGCUCAUCUGGAUUAUGGGUGUGACGCUGUCAUCCCAAGAAGUUAUAAAAUUAUGUAACCUUCACAUAGCUGUCUGAAAUUCUUUAUAACUUUAAAUAGGCACAACAAAGGAUAGCAACCUAUUUAAACAUUGGCCAUUUAAAAUGGAAGUGCUAAAUUAUUCUUUUACAUGAUCUAGGUGGAUUCAGUGGUUUGACAGUCACCAGUGCCCACUCUCCUGCGUACGUGACCAUGCAUUCAGUCACCGACACAGCCUUCACAACUAAUCUGCUCUCUUUUCUCUCUGAGUAUCGGUUCCCGUUUUAUCUCCCCCAACAGAACUGUAAUGUGGUCUUACUCCCGAAAUUAUGGUCUUUUGUUGAUUAUUUCAUCUGUGUUCUCUAUAAAUAUAUAUCAAUUGAAAUUAUUUUUUUAUUCCAGUGACCAUAAAGCUUAAUCAUUUUUUUUUUCUUUCCGGAUUGCAGUCUCAUUACAAUUGAUGAGGACAAUAACAUUGCACACAUUUUGGAAAUUUUAAAUUAAAAAAUGAAAUUAAAAUUAAGUGAAUAUACUUGCCCUGAUGACAGGAAAAACUAAAAGUCCUAAAAAAAAUUAUCUGCCAAUCUAUGGAUGAUACUAUGAUAGUGUAAGACAUAGUUCAACGUUAAUUUUAUUCUGUUUUUCCUCUUUAUACAAGUAAAGAGCAGCAACAUUGUUCAUAUAGAGGGAUGGAAAUCAAAGGGGCCACAAAUUCUGAGAUUCCUUGAACUCUUUCUGCAUUACAUACUAAAAAAUUUUUACCCAAUUACAUCAUAAGUUCGUAUCAGAAGUAUUUCCAGUGUUCUUUUAUAUUACAUGGAAUGAAGAGCCUCCUUCAUUGUGUUGGGGGAACAGAAAAACCUUUGGCUAUCUUUCUGCCCGGCAUUCCUUUAAUGGCCUCCUAGGCACAGAGAGGUCUGUGUCCCUGGGAAAUGAUGUGUGUGCCUUCUUAUUCUCUGUGUGCGCCAUGGCAGAGGGGACCCCACCUCCUCCACUGGCACAUUUCAGGCAGAUCCCUCCUAGAAAGCAUGACAAAGGGACGAGGACUUCAAUUUCAUUUCCCUUAACACGCCUCGGGGCCUGAGCAUCUUUAUUUCCCCAAGGAGUAUACACCCUGCUGUUCAGAGAUUGCUUCAGGAGAUUUUCCAUUCCACAUGGGUGGGACCAGAUACAAAGUAAGUACCAAACUACAAGAUUGUUAACAAUGACAUUAUUCCACCU